rnacentral:rRNA from 1 species
UGUUUCGGCUAGGGGGUCAUCCCGACUUACCAACCCGAUGCAAACUACGAAUACCGAAGAAUGUUAUCACGGGAGACACACGGCGGGUGCUAACGUCCGUCGUGAAGAGGGAAACAACCCAGACCGCCAGCUAAGGUCCCAAAGUCAUGGUUAAGUGGGAAACGAUGUGGGAAGGCCCAGACAGCCAGGAUGUUGGCUUAGAAGCAGCCAUCAUUUAAAGAAAGCGUAAUAGCUCACUGGUCGAGUCGGCCUGCGCGGAAGAUGUAACGGGGCUAAACCAUGCACCGAAGCUGCGGCAGCGACACUAUGUGUUGUUGGGUAGGGGAGCGUUCUGUAAGCCGUUGAAGGUGGCCUGUGAGGGUUGCUGGAGGUAUCAGAAGUGCGAAUGCUGACAUAAGUAACGAUAAUGCGGGUGAAAAACCCGCACGCCGGAAGACCAAGGGUUCCUGUCCAACGUUAAUCGGGGCAGGGUGAGUCGACCCCUAAGGCGAGGCCGAAAGGCGUAGUCGAUGGGAAACAGGUUAAUAUUCCUGUACUUGGUGUUACUGCGAAGG